rnacentral:rRNA from 1 species
GGUUAAGCGACUAAGCGUACACGGUGGAUGCCCUGGCAGUCAGAGGCGAUGAAGGGCGUGCUAAUCUGCGAUAAGCGCCGGUAAGGUGAUAUGAACCGUUAUAACCGGCGAUACCCGAAUGGGGAAACCCAGUGUGACUCGUCACACUAUCAUUAACUGAAUCCAUAGGUUAAUGAGGCGAACCGGGGGAACUGAAACAUCUAAGUACCCCGAGGAAAAGAAAUCAACCGAGAUUCCCCCAGUAGCGGCGAGCGAACGGGGAGGAGCCCAGAGCCUGAAUCAGCAUGUGUGUUAGUGGAAGCGUCUGGAAAGGCGCGCGAUACAGGGUGACAGCCCCGUACACAAAAGCGCAUGUGCUGUGAGCUCGAUGAGUAGGGCGGGACACGUGGUAUCCUGUCUGAAUAUGGGGGGACCAUCCUCCAAGGCUAAAUACUCCUGACUGACCGAUAGUGAACCAGUACCGUGAGGGAAAGGCGAAAAGAACCCCGGCGAGGGGAGUGAAAAAGAACCUGAAACCGUGUACGUACAAGCAGUGGGAGCACAGGUUUACCUGUGUGACUGCGUACCUUUUGUAUAAUGGGUCAGCGACUUAUAUUCUGUAGCAAGGUUAACCGAAUAGGGGAGCCGGAGGGAAACCGAGUCUUAACUGGGCGUUAAGUUGCAGGGUAUAGACCCGAAACCCGGUGAUCUAGCCAUGGGCAGGUUGAAGGUUGGGUAACACUAACUGGAGGACCGAACCGACUAAUGUUGAAAAAUUAGCGGAUGACCUGUGGCUGGGGGUGAAAGGCCAAUCAAACCGGGAGAUAGCUGGUUCUCCCCGAAAGCUAUUUAGGUAGCGCCUCGUGAACUCAUCUCCGGGGGUAGAGCACUGUUUCGGCUAGGGGGCCAUCCCGGCUUACCAACCCGAUGCAAACUGCGAAUACCGGAGAAUGUUAUCACGGGAGACACACGGCGGGUGCUAACGUCCGUCGUGAAGAGGGAAACAACCCAGACCGCCAGCUAAGGUCCCAAAGUCAUGGUUAAGUGGGAAACGAUGUGGGAAGGCCCAGACAGCCAGGAUGUUGGCUUAGAAGCAGCCAUCAUUUAAAGAAAGCGUAAUAGCUCACUGGUCGAGUCGGCCUGCGCGGAAGAUGUAACGGGGCUAAACCAUGCACCGAAGCUGCGGCAGCGACACUGUGUGUUGUUGGGUAGGGGAGCGUUCUGUAAGCCUGCGAAGGUGGCCUGUGAGGGUUGCUGGAGGUAUCAGAAGUGCGAAUGCUGACAUAAGUAACGAUAAAGCGGGUGAAAAGCCCGCUCGCCGGAAGACCAAGGGUUCCUGUCCAACGUUAAUCGGGGCAGGGUGAGUCGACCCCUAAGGCGAGGCCGAAAGGCGUAGUCGAUGGGAAACGGGUUAAUAUUCCCGUACUUGGUGUUACUGCGAAGGGGGGACGGAGAAGGCUAUGUUGGCCGGGCGACGGUUGUCCCGGUUUAAGCGUGUAGGUGUGUGUUCCAGGUAAAUCCGGUUCACUUUAACACUGAGGCGUGACGACGAGGCACUACGGUGCUGAAGCAACAAAUGCCCUGCUUCCAGGAAAAGCCUCUAAGCAUCAGGUAACAUCAAAUCGUACCCCAAACCGACACAGGUGGUCAGGUAGAGAAUACCAAGGCGCUUGAGAGAACUCGGGUGAAGGAACUAGGCAAAAUGGUGCCGUAACUUCGGGAGAAGGCACGCUGACACGUAGGUGAAGUGAUUUACUCAUGGAGCUGAAGUCAGUCGAAGAUACCAGCUGGCUGCAACUGUUUAUUAAAAACACAGCACUGUGCAAACACGAAAGUGGACGUAUACGGUGUGACGCCUGCCCGGUGCCGGAAGGUUAAUUGAUGGGGUCAGCGCAAGCGAAGCUCCUGAUCGAAGCCCCGGUAAACGGCGGCCGUAACUAUAACGGUCCUAAGGUAGCGAAAUUCCUUGUCGGGUAAGUUCCGACCUGCACGAAUGGCGUAAUGAUGGCCAGGCUGUCUCCACCCGAGACUCAGUGAAAUUGAACUCGCUGUGAAGAUGCAGUGUACCCGCGGCAAGACGGAAAGACCCCGUGAACCUUUACUAUAGCUUGACACUGAACAUUGAGCCUUGAUGUGUAGGAUAGGUGGGAGGCUUUGAAGUGUGGACGCCAGUCUGCAUGGAGCCGACCUUGAAAUACCACCCUUUAAUGUUUGAUGUUCUAACGUGGACCCGUUACCCGGGUUGCGGACAGUGUCUGGUGGGUAGUUUGACUGGGGCGGUCUCCUCCUAAAGAGUAACGGAGGAGCACGAAGGUUGGCUAAUCCUGGUCGGACAUCAGGAGGUUAGUGCAAUGGCAUAAGCCAGCUUGACUGCGAGCGUGACGGCGCGAGCAGGUGCGAAAGCAGGUCAUAGUGAUCCGGUGGUUCUGAAUGGAAGGGCCAUCGCUCAACGGAUAAAAGGUACUCCGGGGAUAACAGGCUGAUACCGCCCAAGAGUUCAUAUCGACGGCGGUGUUUGGCACCUCGAUGUCGGCUCAUCACAUCCUGGGGCUGAAGUAGGUCCCAAGGGUAUGGCUGUUCGCCAUUUAAAGUGGUACGCGAGCUGGGUUUAGAACGUCGUGAGACAGUUCGGUCCCUAUCUGCCGUGGGCGCUGGAGAACUGAGGGGGGCUGCUCCUAGUACGAGAGGACCGGAGUGGACGCAUCACUGGUGUUCGGGUUGUCAUGCCAAUGGCACUGCCCGGUAGCUAAAUGCGGAAGAGAUAAGUGCUGAAAGCAUCUAAGCACGAAACUUGCCCCGAGAUGAGUUCUCCCUGAGACUUAGAGUCUCCUGAAGGAACGUUGAAGACGACGACGUUGAUAGGCCGGGUGUGUAAGCGCAGCGAUGCGUUGAGCUAACCGGUACUAAUGAACCGUGAGGCUUAACCUU